AUUGAACGCUGGCGGCAGGCCUAACACAUGCAAGUCGAACGGUAACAGAAAGCAGCUUGCUGCUUUGCUGACGAGUGGCGGACGGGUGAGUAAUGUCUGGGAAACUUCCUGAUGGAGGGGGAUAACUACUGGAAACGGUAGCUAAUACCGCAUAACGUCGCAAGACCAAAGAGGGGGACCUUCGGGCCUCUUGCCAUCGGAUGUGCCCAGAUGGGAUUAGCUUGUUGGUGGGGUAACGGCUCACCAAGGCGACGAUCCCUAGCUGGUCUGAGAGGAUGACCAGCCACACUGGAACUGAGACACGGUCCAGACUCCUACGGGAGGAAGCAGUGGGGAAUAUUGCACAAUGGGCGCAAGCCUGAUGCAGCCAUGCCGCGUGUAUGAAGAAGGCCUUCGGGUUGUAAAGUACUUUCAGCGGGGAGGAAGGGAGUAAAGUUAAUACCUUUGCUCAUUGACGUUACCCGCAGAAGAAGCACCGGCUAACUCCGUG
rnacentral:rRNA from 1 species